rnacentral:rRNA from 1 species
UUAGAGUUUGAUCCUGGCUCAGGAUGAACGCCGGCGGUGUGCCUAAUACAUGCAAGUCGUACGCACUGGCCCAACUGAUUGAUGGUGCUUGCACCUGAUUGACGAUGGAUCACCAGUGAGUGGCGGACGGGUGAGUAACACGUAGGUAACCUGCCCCGGAGCGGGGGAUAACAUUUGGAAACAGAUGCUAAUACCGCAUAACAACAAAAGCCACAUGGCUUUUGUUUGAAAGAUGGCUUUGGCUAUCACUCUGGGAUGGACCUGCGGUGCAUUAGCUAGUUGGUAAGGUAACGGCUUACCAAGGCGAUGAUGCAUAGCCGAGUUGAGAGACUGAUCGGCCACAAUGGAACUGAGACACGGUCCAUACUCCUACGGGAGGCAGCAGUAGGGAAUCUUCCACAAUGGGCGCAAGCCUGAUGGAGCAACACCGCGUGAGUGAAGAAGGGUUUCGGCUCGUAAAGCUCUGUUGUUGGAGAAGAACGUGCGUGAGAGUAACUGUUCACGCAGUGACGGUAUCCAACCAGAAAGUCACGGCUAACUACGUGCCAGCAGCCGCGGUAAUACGUAGGUGGCAAGCGUUAUCCGGAUUUAUUGGGCGUAAAGCGAGCGCAGGCGGUUGUUUAGGUCUGAUGUGAAAGCCUUCGGCUUAACCGGAGAAGUGCAUCGGAAACCGGGCGACUUGAGUGCAGAAGAGGACAGUGGAACUCCAUGUGUAGCGGUGGAAUGCGUAGAUAUAUGGAAGAACACCAGUGGCGAAGGCGGCUGCCUGGUCUGCAACUGACGCUGAGGCUCGAAAGCAUGGGUAGCGAACAGGAUUAGAUACCCUGGUAGUCCAUGCCGUAAACGAUGAGUGCUAGGUGUUGGAGGGUUUCCGCCCUUCAGUGCCGGAGCUAACGCAUUAAGCACUCCGCCUGGGGAGUACGACCGCAAGGUUGAAACUCAAAGGAAUUGACGGGGGCCCGCACAAGCGGUGGAGCAUGUGGUUUAAUUCGAAGCUACGCGAAGAACCUUACCAGGUCUUGACAUCUUGCGCUAACCUUAGAGAUAAGGCGUUCCCUUCGGGGACGCAAUGACAGGUGGUGCAUGGUCGUCGUCAGCUCGUGUCGUGAGAUGUUGGGUUAAGUCCCGCAACGAGCGCAACCCUUGUUACUAGUUGCCAGCAUUAAGUUGGGCACUCUAGUGAGACUGCCGGUGACAAACCGGAGGAAGGUGGGGACGACGUCAGAUCAUCAUGCCCCUUAUGACCUGGGCUACACACGUGCUACAAUGGACGGUACAACGAGUCGCAAGCUCGCGAGAGUAAGCUAAUCUCUUAAAGCCGUUCUCAGUUCGGACUGUAGGCUGCAACUCGCCUACACGAAGUCGGAAUCGCUAGUAAUCGCGGAUCAGCAUGCCGCGGUGAAUACGUUCCCGGGCCUUGCACUCACCGCCCGUCA